AUUGAACGCUGGCGGCGUGCCUAAUACAUGCAAGUCGAACGCAGUGGGGACGGGUGAGUAAAAAGUGGGUAACCUCCCAUCAGAGGGGAUAACACUUGGAAAAAGGUGCUAAACCGAUAUUGAAGGAUGGAGAAGUGGUUCAUUAGCUAGUUGGUGAGGUAACGGCGCACCAAGGCCACGAUGCAUAGCCGUCCUGAGAUGGUGAUCGGCCACACUGGGACUGAGACACGGCCCAGACUCCUACGGUAGGCAGCAGUAGGUAAUCUUCGGCAAUGGACGAAAGUCUGACCGAGCAACGCCGCGUGUGUGAAGAAGGUUUUCGGAUCGUAAAACUCUGUUGUUAGAGAAGCGGUAUCUAACCAGAAAGCCACGGCUAACUACGUGCCAGCCGCCGCGGUAAUUC
rnacentral:rRNA from 1 species